CUUCACCCCGGCAACAUCAACUCUACCUGCCAGCCAGGGGCAAGUCGAGGCAUGACCUGAGAUAUGGGCACACUCACACACACACACACUCACACACACACACUAGCGUAACUGUGGAGACAGUUGUGUUACUCCAGCAGUGGUCACUUCUCAACAGAACAGUGAGAUCUGCAGCGACUGCAGCCGUGGAGAGAACAAGAGGAGCCGAACUGAGAAUUCAUUCUGAAAAUCACUGGCUGGAGAAGAGCUGCUUCACUCUUUGGUAAACUUUAUUAUUUCAGACUAACAUUGUGUGUUAAUAUUUUUUAAAUCUUGUAUUUACUCAUUACAUAACUUGUUAAAAAGUCAGUGUCAUGAAAAACAGACAAACUGAAGCCUGGAUAAGAAAUAUUCUUUCUCAAUAAAUACAUUCUUUAACAAACACCAGGUGCCCUUUGAGGGUUUGUUGAGGUAAGUUUGUUUUUUUUUAAUUUUUACUUUUCUUUCAGUCAUACCAUUACUAUUUAUAUACAACUAUUUUCUGUUUUAUAAGUUUAGUACCACUAAACAUUUGUGUUUGUUCUCAUAGCAAACCUUAAAUCAAAUAAAAAGUCACAAAAUCCUCAGAAAAAGUUUUCUGGUCUGGUCACUUCCUGGAGUCUCAGCUGGUUGCCUGGCAACAGCUCAUAUCCAGGAAGUAGUCUGGUACACAAAACCACAAAUUGUCUCUGCACUUCGGCUUUAGUACGAAUGAAUCCAACAAGAUGGAACAUAUUCUUCACUGGGCUUUAAAAGAUGUUUAUUUUUGACAGAGCCAGGCUAGCUGUUUCCCUCUGUUUCCAGUCUUUGUGCUAAGCUAAGCUAACUGACUUUUUGUUAUUCGUGUUAAAUCUGUUUCAGUGUGAAUCCACAGCAGUGCUCCUGACUCCUGGUUGGGGUUGUUGUGUAGGCAGUGUUGUUAGCUGAUUGUUCUGACACACCAAUCACUAACUACACUACCAGUACAACCACCGCCACACACAGCUGCUCAGCCAGAGCAGCUUCCACACCGAGCUCAGCAUACAGCGUUCAUGCAGGACUGAAGUGGAUUAUUCAACAAGAAGAAAUAAACAAGAAGCUCCUCUUCGACAUUUACGUUGAGAUAUAAUGAAAUAAAAGGGUCCACAGUGUCCCAUCAACAGCUCCACUAGACUCUAAUGUCCGUACAUUAGAGAACACUGACUGGCUGCAGGACUUUAUGUUGCAGCACCAGAGUCGACCACUGGAACAACGACCAGCGAUGACCCACAUACAAGUACCACUACAUUUAUUUGAUCUUUGCAGAUUCAGAUUAUUCAGAGUUAACAGACUUAAUUGUGACGUGUUAUCAGAUACUGUUGUGGGCAGAACGUGUGAGAGGAUUUGGCAUCAGAGCCAAAGAAGACAUUUUAAAAAAAAAAACAAAAACAAAAAAACCCCAAAAACUUUAAAACGGGGAAUCUGACCGAAGUAUCACCGGUACAAUAAUCGGAAAAUGCUGAAAAUCAGCCCCGAUAAUCCGUCUGGCUCUCAGUCAGAUGUCACCACGUUUCACUUGAGUGACGCUGAUGAAAACAUUUGUUCGUAUUCGUCCCUAAAGAGCCUCCUGCUGUUAAAAUGAAAGAAGAAACGCCUCAGAACGAGCAGCAACACUUUUCAAUGACUGUUCAAUGUUACUUUAUUCACACUUACUUUAAUCUUAUAGUUUAAAAAACACAUUUAGAAGGAGGAAAUACUUAAAAUACUUGAAUAUUUCAAAGAUUAAAAACAUGCUCAAACAGCAUUACUUUAAAUCAUUGACACUUUAAACCAUGUAACAAUUAUAAACUCUUAACCUAAGAUGCACGAACUGUCCUGAAACUCUUUUUUUCCCC